rnacentral:rRNA from 1 species
GACGAACGCUGGCGGCGUGCCUAAUACAUGCAAGUCGAGCGGACGAAUCGAAAGCUUGCUUUUGAUUCGUUAGCGGCGGACGGGUGAGUAACACGUGGGCAACCUGCCCUGUAGACGGGGAUAACGCCGAGAAAUCGGUGCUAAUACCGGAUAACACGAAAUGUCGCAUGACGUUUCGUUGAAAGACGGCGCAAGCUGUCGCUACAGGAUGGGCCCGCGGCGCAUUAGCUAGUUGGUGAGGUAACGGCUCACCAAGGCGACGAUGCGUAGCCGACCUGAGAGGGUGAUCGGCCACACUGGGACUGAGACACGGCCCAGACUCCUACGGGAGGCAGCAGUAGGGAAUCUUCCGCAAUGGACGAAAGUCUGACGGAGCAACGCCGCGUGAGCGAAGAAGGCCUUCGGGUCGUAAAGCUCUGUUGUUAGGGAAGAACAAGUAACGCAGUAACUGGCGUUACCGUGACGGUACCUAACGAGAAAGCCACGGCUAACUACGUG